AACGAACGCUGGCGGCAGGCUUAACACAUGCAAGUCGAACGCACCGCAAGGUGAGUGGCAGACGGGUGAGUAACGCGUGGGAACUUACCCCUUGGUACGGGAUAGCUCCGGGAAGCUGGAGAUAAUACCGUAUGUGACCUGAGGGUCAAAGAUUCAUCGCCAAGGGAUGGGCCCGCGUCGGAUUAGCUAGUUGGUGGGGUAACGGCCUACCAAGGCGACGAUCCGUAGCUGGUCUAAGAGGAUGAUCAGCCACAUUGGGACUGAGACACGGCCCAAACUCCUACGGGGGGCAGCAGUGGGGAAUAUUGGACAAUGGGCGCAAGCCUGAUCCAGCCAUGCCGCGUGAGUGAUGAAGGCCCUAGGGUUGUAAAGCUCUUUCACCGGGGACGAUAAUGACGGUACCCGGAGAAGAAGCCCCGGCUAACUUCGUGCCAGCAGCCGCCGUAA
rnacentral:rRNA from 1 species